CCUACGGGAGGCAGCAGUGGGGAAUAUUGCACAAUGGGGGAAACCCUGAUGCAGCGACGCCGCGUGAGUGAAGAAGUAUUUCGGUAUGUAAAGCUCUAUCAGCAGGGAAGAUAAUGACGGUACCUGACUAAGAAGCCCCGGCUAACUACGUGCCAGCAGCCGCGGUAAUACGUAG
rnacentral:rRNA from 1 species